rnacentral:lncRNA from 1 species
AAUCCCAGGAAAGGCAGGAGGGCACUCCUCCAAUGGGAACCUGGAGCCGUCGGUAGCGGUGGCGGCCUGCGACCUCGCAAUAGCUCCGGCAGGCGGGAGGGACGCGUCCAGUGCUUUCGCGAGGUCCUGCUGCCUGCCGCUGGAACCUGGUCGAGCGAGGCAGCGGCGACGCCGACGGUCUGAAGUUCCCGGUCAGCGGGUUGCGGAGGAUCGUGCGGGUAGCAAAGGGAGGGCGAGUGCUCCUGCGGCCCCAGACGGCAACCAGAACAUACAUCAUUGUUAGAAUCAUCACCCUGCAGCUAGCUUGGACACCAUUAAAAGGGCUCAUCAACUGCAAACGGAUAGAAGUAUCUGAUAUUCGUGAAGACAGAGUUUCAGGGCUUCUGCCUGGAGCUACACUCUCCAGAAGCCCCUGCUUGGCCUCUCUGCACCCAACCCCACCCCAACCAGUCACAGCUUGGGUCGUGUGUGGUGUUUCUUGGCAACUGGAAAACAGACUCCUCCAGCAGCUCCACAGGCCCCUUGUCCUCACUGAGCAGAAGACUACAGAAGCUGGCUACUGAAGAAGCUGUCCAAGUCUUAGAGCUCCUCCUUGGCCCUGCUUAGCACACUUACCACAGAGCAGUAACCGAGUGCUGGCUGUUACUCAUUUGCGCUUACUACCUGCAGGGACUUCAGAGGGAUUUGUCAGACCCCAUUUCACCCUAAGGCCACUCCCUAAGAAUCUCCACAGGAGGCUACCCAUAGAGAGAGGUGGCUUGCCUAGGGUCUCCACUGCCUUAGGUCAUACGUGGACACUUCCAGGGCUAAGGGGAUUAAUAUCUUUUUGCCUACCUGUAACCCACAUAUCCAUUGGAAAAUUCUGCCUCCUGCUAUUUUCUGUUCUUUUAUUUGUUUUUUGGUAGGAAGAGUUUUAACUACUUCUUCAGUUCCUUUAAUAGUUGGAGGAUUAUUCAGGAUUUCUUUUUCUUCUUGCGUUAAUUUUGGUAAGUUAUAGUUUUCUAGGAAUUGGUCCAUUUUGUCUGUGUUCUCAAACUUGUCGGCAUAAAGUUUCCUUGUUUUUUUGUUCUCUGUUCUAUCUGUAGUUAUGUCUCCUUUUUCAUUGCUGAUAUUGGUUAUUUGUGCUUUCUCACUUUUUUUCUUGAUCAAUCUCUCCAGAGGUUUGUCUAUUUUAUUAGUCUUUUCAAAGAACCAGCUUUUGGCUUUGUUGCUCCUCUCUAUUGUGUCUUUGUUUUCUAUUUCUUUAAUUUCUGCUCUUAUCUUUUUUGAUCUCCUUCCUUCCACAUUUUUUGGAUUUAUUCUGUUGUUCUUUUUCUAAUUUCUUAAAUUGGGCACAGAGCUCAUUAAUUUUUGUGCAUUUAAGGACAUAACUUUCCCUCUAACUACUGCUUUUCUUCAAGUUCAGACAUGUCGUAUUUUAUUAUUGUUCGGUUCCAAGUACUCAGCAUUUCCAUCGUGGUUACUUCUUUGACCUGCGAGAAGUGUGUUUCUAAAUAUUUGGAGAUUUAAAAUUUUACCUCUUUGUUAUUGAAAUUUGUCUUAAUUGCAUUAUGAUCAGAGGAUGUGAUCUGUGUGAUAAAAGCUCUGAAAUUUAUUGAGACUUGUUUUAUGGCUUAGUACGUGAUCAGUAUUUUUGAAUGUUUCCUAUGUGAUUUAUAAGAAUGUAUGUUCUCUAAUUGUUGAAUACAGAGUUCUACAUAUGUCUAUUAUCAAGUUUGUUAAUUGUAUUGUUCACAUUUUCUAUAUCUACUGAUUUUCGGGGGGUCGUACUAUACCAUGAAUUGUAAGGUGUGUUAAUAUUCAGUUCUGAUGGUGGAUUUAUCUGUUUCUUCUUGUAAUUCUCUUUUUCUUUACAUGUUUUGAGGGUAUUUUAUUAGGAAUAUUCAAAUCAAGAAUUGUUAUAUAUUCCUGCUAAACAUGUAUGACGUUCUCUAUUCCUGAUAAUGCAUUUUUCCUUGAAGUCUAUUGUAUCUUACAGUAAUAUAGAAACACAGACUUUUCUCCUGUUAGGAUUUGUGUUACUUUGAAACAUUUUCAUGCCUUAAUACUUUAAUUAUGUCUCUUGGGAAUGGCAUACAGCUGGACCUUUUAAAAAUCGAAUCUAAUGCUCUCUAUCUUUUAAUGGGCAAGUUUAGUCUGUUUACAUAUAUUGUGAAAUAUUUGGAUUUUUCUCUACCGUCAUAGUUUUUUAUUUCUAUUUCCUACCACCACCUUUGUGAUGCUUCAUUUUUCUCUUUUUUUGCCUGCUUUUUUCAUUUGUUUGUUUCCUUAUUCUAUUUUUUUCCUCAUUGCGGUUUGGAAUUUACCUGUUCUUUUCCCAUUAUUUCUGUGGUUAUCCUUGAGGUUUUGCUGUGCACAUAUAAGUUUUUAAGUUAAAACAGUGCUGGAGUUCCCAUCAUGGUGCAGUGGAAACGAAUCCGACUAGGAACCAUGAGGUUGCGGGUUCGAUUCCUGACCUUGCUCAGUGGGUUAAGGAUCCGGCAUUGCCAUGAACUGUGGUGUAGGUCGCAGACAUGGCUUGGAUCUAAUGUGGCUAUGGCUGUGGUGUAGGCCUGCAGCCGUAGCUCCAAUUCGACCCCUAGCCUGGGAACCUCCAUGUGCCAUGGGUAUGGCCCUAAAAAACAAACAUAAAUCAAUCAAUCAAUAAAGUUAAACAGUACUUUAACAUCCUUCUUGAAUGCGAGAAGCUUAGAAACAUUCAACUCUAGUCAUUCCUCUCUUGGACCACGUGUUAUUUUUUUGAGUAUAUUUAUUUCCUCCCUUUCCCCCCCUAACCUCACAAAUUCUAUAUCAUCCUUAGUAUUAUUUUAUGUAGAUGGUGUGUGUUUGGAUUUUCAUGCAUAUAUUCUUGCAUCUCAGACCAUCAUUCUGGGAUCAUUUUCCUUCAUUAUGAAUACAGUGUUGAGAUGCCCUUUUAGUACAGAUUUGUUGGUGUUAAAUUCUCCCAGUCUUUAUUAUAUGUAAAUGUCUUUAUUCUAUACUCAUUCUUAAAAGAUAGAUUGUUAUAGGUAAUAUUAGAAGUCCAUUGUCAGUCUAAUUACUAUUUUUGUAGGUGUUUUUGUUUUCUGGGUAUUCUCAAGGUCUCUCUCUCUCAUGGAGGAGAAUGUUCAGGGGGUUCUGCACUUUCAUUCUAUUAGUGUUUCGGUAUGUAUUUCUUUUUUAUUUAUUGUACUUUGGAAAUGUGCUUCAUGCCUCUGGAUUCAUGUUUUUCAUAAUUUCUAGAAAGUUCUCAGUCAUUAUCUCUUCAAAUAUUGCCUUUCCUCCAUUAUUUCUAUGUUUUCUUUCUCAGAAUUCAGUUAGUCAUAUUUUGCAUCUCUUCAUUCUAUCUUCCAUAUCUCGUAACAUCUCAUUGAUAUUUUCUAUCUUGUCUUCUUGCACUUCAUUGUGGACAAUUUCUUCAGAUAUAUCUUUCAGCUUAUUGAUUCUCUCUUCAGCUGUGUCUGAUCUGCUGUUUAAUCUGUCCACAGAAUUUUUUAUUUCAACAAUGGUAUUUUUCAUUUGUACAGCCUUCAUAUAUUUCACUUACCAAUCUGCCUGGUCAUCUCUUAAUAGUUUCUUGUUGCUUGCUCAUCUUUGUGGUUGCCUCUGUUAUUUCUUUAAACAUUUUAUACAAUUUUUGUUCAACCAGUGUCACUGUUUGCCUGAGUAUGGCAUUGUAAAUAUUGUUCACAUCCAGACUACAUAGUACAGUCUAAUGACAUAUCCUUUGUUACAUACCUUUUUGUUUUCCUAGUAAUUCCCUCGUUUUUUUGGUUUGUUUUUUUUUUCUUUUGCCUAGUGUUCUAAUACCAUUACUAGGUCUUCUCUGAAAUUCUUUUAAAAAUCCCUAUCAGGCUGUGUCCCUCCUCUGCUCAAAAUUCUCCCAUAACUCCCAUCUCCCUCAGAAUAAAAGCCAAAGCUCUCACCAUGGCCCCAAAGUUUCUACACAAGCUGGUCCCCAUAACCUCUCUGACCUGGCCUCAUAUCACUCUUCCCAUCACUCACUCUUCUCCAGCCACAUUGGCCUCCUUGCUGUCCCUUAAACAUGCCAGAUAUCCCCCCUCUUCAGAGCCUUUGUACUUGCUGUUAUCACUGUCUGGAACACUCUAAAUUGUAGAUAAUCUGAUGACUUGCCCACCCACUUCUAGUAUGCUCAAAUGUCACCUCCCUCGAGAAGCAUUCCCUAACCACCAUAUCUAAAAUAACCCCAUUCACCAGCACUUUCAUCAUCCCCUUAUCCUAUUUAUGGCUUAUGUUUUUCUGCAGAGCACUGAUCACCACCUGAUAUAUUUAUUUAUUUAUUGUGAUUAGUGUUUGUCUGUCCCCAAUAGACUGUAAGCUCCACAAAGCAGGACUCUUGUUUUUGUUCUUUGCUGUAUCCCCAGUGCCGAGAACAGUGCAUAGUAAUAUUGAGUAGAUACUCAAUAAAUAUUUGUGGAAUAAACUGAAUGAAUUAAUG